GUGGAACUGUCUAAGCCAUUUGUUAUUUCAUCCAUAAACAGAGCCUUUGUCGGGCCAACAAUCAUCUCGGCUACAAAGAUUCAGAAAUUCAGUGUUUCUGCACAAAUGUCUAGUCCGAGAAUCUGCAAAUUCAACAGAAGACUAAGAACCAAACAAAAAGGGCCAGAUUAUCAGCCAGGCUAUAAAAGAGACUACCUUCAAGAUGUAAUCUGUUUGCAGACUUCUUUUGAGUCCUUCAACAGAAAUUGCCUAUACGAAAAAAAAAGUCUCUAAUCAACCAGCUGAGUUUAAAGGUUAAAUUCAGAAUAAGCUUCAGGGUCAGAGAAUGUUUGAGGAAUGUACUUUCAUGGAAAAGAAAAAUUAACAAUACAUACAUUUCAUUGCACUCGAGGGGACAUUGAUUGGUUGAUAAAAUCUACCUGUUCGGCUACCAACGCCCU